UUAGUGGCGAACGGGUGAGUAACACGUGGGCAAUCUGCCCUGCACUCUGGGACAAGCCCUGGAAACGGGGUCUAAUACCGGAUACCACCCGGGGGCGCAUGCCCUUGGGUUGAAAGCUCCGGCGGUGCAGGAUGAGCCCGCGGCCUAUCAGCUUGUUGGUGGGGUGAUGGCCUACCAAGGCGACGACGGGUAGCCGGCCUGAGAGGGCGACCGGCCACACUGGGACUGAGACACGGCCCAGACUCCUACGGGAGGCAGCAGUGGGGAAUAUUGCACAAUGGGCGAAAGCCUGAUGCAGCGACGCCGCGUGAGGGAUGACGGCCUUCGGGUUGUAAACCUCUUUCAGCAGGGAAGAA
rnacentral:rRNA from 1 species